GACGUAGGGCGCGAGCGUUGUCCGGAUUUAUUGGGCGUAAAGAGCUCGUAGGCGGCUCAUUGCGUCAACCGUGAAAUCCUGCUGCUCAACGGCAGGUCUGCGGUUGAUACGGGUGGGCUGGAGUUCGGUAGGGGAGACUGGAAUUCCUGGUGUAGCGGUGAAAUGCGCAGAUAUCAGGAGGAACACCGGUGGCGAAGGCGGCU
rnacentral:rRNA from 1 species